GAUGAACGCUGGCGGCGUGCCUAAUACAUGCAAGUCGAGCGAACAGACGAGGAGCUUGCUCCUCUGACGUUAGCGGCGGACGGGUGAGUAACACGUGGAUAACCUACCUAUAAGACUGGGAUAACUUCGGGAAACCGGAGCUAAUACCGGAUAAUAUAUUGAACCGCAUGGUUCAAUAGUGAAAGACGGUUUUGCUGUCACUUAUAGAUGGAUCCGCGCCGCAUUAGCUAGUUGGUAAGGUAACGGCUUACCAAGGCGACGAUGCGUAGCCGACCUGAGAGGGUGAUCGGCCAAACUGGAACUGAGACACGGUCCAGACUCCUACGGGAGGCAGCAGUAGGGAAUCCUCCGCAAUGGGCGAAAGCCUGACGGAGCAACGCCGCGUGAGUGAUGAAGGUCUUCGGAUCGUAAAACUCUGUUAUUAGGGAAGAACAAAUGUGUAAGUAACUAUGCACGUCUUGACGGUACCUAAUCAGAAAGCCACGGCUAACUACGUG
rnacentral:rRNA from 1 species